GACGAACGCUGGCGGCGUGCUUAACACAUGCAAGUCGAGCGGAAAGGCCACUUCGGUGGUACUCGAGCGGCGAACGGGUGAGUAACACGUGAGUAAUCUGCCCCUGGCUUUGGGAUAGCCACCGGAAACGGUGAUUAAUACCGGAUACGACCACUUCUCGCAUGGGAUGGUGGUGGAAAGUUUUUUCGGCCAGGGAUGUGCUCGCGGCCAAUCAGCUUGAUGGUGAGGUAAUGGCUUACCAUGGCCGCGACGGGUAGCCGGCCUGAGAGGGUGACCGGUCACACUGGGACUGAGACACGGCCCAGACUCCGACGGGAGGCAGCAGUGGGGAAUAUUGGACAAUGGGCGGAAGCCUGAUCCAGCAACGCCGCGUGAGGGAUGACGGCCUUCGGGUUGUAAACCUCUUUCAGCAGGGACGAAGCGCAAGGGACGGUACCUGCAGAAGAAGCACCGGCCAACUACGUGCCAGCCGCCGCCGUAA
rnacentral:rRNA from 1 species